AGUGAACGCUGGCGGUAGGCCUAACACAUGCAAGUCGAACGGCAGCACAGUAAGAGCUUGCUCUUACGGGUGGCGAGUGGCGGACGGGUGAGGAAUACAUCGGAAUCUACUUUUUCGUGGGGGAUAACGUAGGGAAACUUACGCUAAUACCGCAUACGACCUACGGGUGAAAGCAGGGGAUCUUCGGACCUUGCGCGAUUGAAUGAGCCGAUGUCGGAUUAGCUAGUUGGCGGGGUAAAGGCCCACCAAGGCGACGAUCCGUAGCUGGUCUGAGAGGAUGAUCAGCCACACUGGAACUGAGACACGGUCCAGACUCCUACGGGAGGCAGCAGUGGGGAAUAUUGGACAAAGGGCGCAAGCCUGCUCCAGCCAUACCGCGUGGGUGAAGAAGGCCUUCGGGUUGUAAAGCCCUUUUGUUGGGAAAGAAAAGCAGCAGGUUAAUACCCCGCUGUUCUGACGGUACCCAAAGAAUAAGCACCGGCUAACUUCGUG
rnacentral:rRNA from 1 species